rnacentral:rRNA from 1 species
GCAUGCCUACAACAUAGCGUUAAUGAAAUGGAUCCCAUUAGAAAUCCACAGUUAAUCGUGCUUAGGAUAGAGUAGUACUGGGAUGGGUGACUGCUCGGGAAUUCUUAGUGUUUUACAUGCC